CUGUCAUUUGUCAUUGCAGCACACAGUAAACAUCCAGUGGGAGAUGAGAAAGUUUAAAAAAAUUUUUUUAGGACCCCAAUAAUGGUAUCAACAGCUUUCUAAUGCUUGCAUACCUCACAUUUUACCAGUGCAUCAGAGAACAGCUGAUUGUGUUAUUUUGUCUGUCCAGUACGGUGGCAUGAUGACAUCGUUACUAUUUUUGUUUUUUUAGAGGUUCUGGUCUCUGAGCACAGGUGCAGCAUUACCCAGUGACACUGCAGGGCUUGGCAACACUGGGCUGACACCUGCCCACCCCCGGUACACACACAGAGUAUAGAAGGUCAUAGCAGGUAAAGGAAUAAAGCUAAUUUGCAAAGGAAUGACAUCACAGAUGCCCCCCCUCCAUGUUCCAGAGGACAUUACAUUCGUAUGUAGUACUCUCCACUUCUAAACUUCUUUAACUCAAAGUGUUCUGCUGCUAAAGAUGAGCUAUGCACAUUAAGACUUGUUACUCUCUUGCUCAGAAACUUUUAGGAUUAGGCAAAAUUCUGCUUCCAGAAUUAACACAUUCUUUGCCCUAUCUUUUAAGUCCCACCACAAAAUAACAUCAAUAACUUUCACAGGCAAGUUUUCCUAAGUGUGUCUUCAUACAUUGCAGGCACUGAGGUGCUGACUUGAUUGGGAAAACUUCACCAGAGGUUUCAUAGAUCAAUAGUGGGUGGAACCUUAGGGUUGGGAGAGACCUUAGAGGGAACUAGUCCUACUCCUCACUAAUUGAUCAGCAUUUUGGACUCCUAGCUGUUUGUAAGACAUGCCCCAGACUCGUAUAACACAUACUGAAAUCCACCCCCCCACCGCCUCCUCAUGUGGAGAUACUUUCAGGUGUAACUACCUCUUUCCCAGAGGCCUGAGCCAGUUCUCUGCCCUGUAAGCAAUUCCCUUUGGUCUCUCUUGGCAUUUACCCUCUUCUCUUUUAUGCAGCUGCCAUUCAUUCACUGAGAAGACAAUUACUGCACACCUGCCGGGUGCCAGACCCUGUGCUGAGCACGGGUGCAUUCUGCCUACAAGUUCAGUAAGAUAAGAGCCAGUACACUAAGACUUUUGAAGUAUCCUCCUACGUUAUCAGAUAUUUGGAUCUUGCCAAGUGUAAAUGUCCUGUUUCCUCAACUUUUGGAAAGUGAUUUCCAGACCAUUCAUUCUCCCUGUCCUUUUCCAUGAGUCAAGUAAACUUAAAAUGUGGGAGACAGAACUGGACCCACUGGCAUAGGGGUGAUGAUGGCAUGACUGCGCAGGAUAAGGCUUUUUAAAGGGGUGUCAGCAGAAUGGGAGACCACGUGAGCAGCUGGAGCCUGGG